GGGAGACGGUUGGGAUGAAUCUUGCUUGAUUAGAAGCAUUUAAGGCCGUUCAAUAGAGAUUUACGUGAUUCGGCUAAUAAGGCCUACAUUCAUGGAAAGAAAUCAAAUAAUCCACUAAUCGAGAAUUACAAAAGAAAGAGAUUCACUCAACUCACUCUCUCAGCCUCUCUCUUAAAAUAUCUCUGUCAGCCUCUCUUGCCUCUCCUCUUUUUUCUCUUUCUACUCUCAGCUAACCCAACACAAUCUCACACCCUAAUUUUCUCUAUCUCUUCAUAUUUUUAGAGAAAAGCUAGUCUAUUCCUCUUCUCAUCUACAUCUCAAACUAAAGAAGAUGUCAACAACAGAAGCAAAGAUACAAAUAGGAAAAAAUAACAAUUUCACAAACCAAAAUAGUAACUAUUGGUCUAAACUAAACACAUGCGCUUCAAGGUAAAUCACCCACAUAAGGCGGGCAAUAAAAUAGAACAAUACAGCGCGUUCUUGCUCUCUGUAUUUUGUUACUAUUCUACUGCACAACCAGUUUCGUUCUGGCAUGACCUUGUGAUAUUUGAAAUUGUUCAGUAAUGCCAAGAUGUGCCAUCAAAAGCCAGACAUGAGUGAGCAGCUCUCCUCCGUGUCUCAGCUGUUGGGCGUGGUGAUUCCACAUACACUUACUUGCGGCAUAGGAUAAUAUCUCAAGCCAUACAUGACUCAUCAUCUCCCAUUUUCGCGGCAUAUGCCAUUGCCUCUCACUUUGCAGCAAUUCCAAUGCUUUGGCAAGCUUACAAGCAUCAAAGAGUAACGACUUACUUCGGUCCCCUUUCACUUACGCUGGUGGAAUUUUGACUCCACUUGGAGCAAUUUGUUACAAGCGAGGCUUUCAUCUGACAUACAGUUUUUAUCUUGGGAAAAUUCUAAGACCUCAGCGCAGGAAACCUGAUCUGCCCAAUCCCAGUGGGCAACAUAUUAGGACGCUUGACAAGAAUGUACAACAUAUAAUCCGAUAACAACUUGCUCGCUUCACAGCUUAGAUCAAGGACAGAAACUGGAUCUUGGUCUUUAUCCGAGUGAUGGCAAAGGUCUGUGGCAAUGUGCCAUAGAAGAAUGCUAUGAUCGAAUUCUACUUCAGCACUCCAGCCAAGUUCGUUUAGACAAUUAUUGUUUUGAAGUGCCUGAUCCCCUCUAGCCGAGCAUAACUGCUUGCAAACCUUAAAAUCUGACGCAGACUUGGACUUCUCUACAAGUUGUUUAAAGAUGGACUCUUUCAGGUAAGUAUGGACAUCCUUUGAAGUCUCCCAUGACCAGUUCUCUAGAAUUUCAUUCAUUCCCAUCCACUUCAGAAUAUCACAUCCCGUGGAUGUUCUAUGUUUGAAACAGUAGUUCAAUAUAUUGUAUUGUGCCAUGCAAUCAGACCACUUCUUCUCGCUGAUAAUGCAUUUAAAACUAGAAAUAACCGUAUAGACGAGAUAAACUAGUUUGUUAUCAUACUUGAUCAACCAAAAGAGGGUCCAAUCUGAGGAAAUCAGAAGAAGAAUUGCAUAAAUCUCGAGGCCUAACGCUCCAACCAGCAAUAGAAAUGUUAUACUCACAUCCACCGGGGAAUAACCAUGCCAAUCAAUGACACAAAAGGCUAUUAAAGCGAUGACGGUGGAAGAUAAGCUAGUACAGCGAAGGAGUCCUCCCCAUAUGGAAUAAAUAACGAUAGCUUUUGUGUAAAGGACAUCGUACACAAACCCGAGCUCCACGCCAAUCACUUUGAAAGCAUCUUCCCACAAAUUUUCCUGAAAAAACGAUACGCUUUUCUGGAGAUCCUGGAAGCUAAGGAUGAGGUCUGCAAAAAGGCGCUUGAAUGUGGGAAAGAAGUCGUGGGCAGCAUUCAGGAUUUUUGCAUCUGGAAUGAGCCUAUUUGUUCCAGCUGCAUAGUCUGGAGCCACUACUUUCGGUGCUUGGGUGACACUCCACGACAAUUAGAAUCCCUCGGUUUCUUUUAGCACAUAUUCCUCCAUGAAUUUGGCGUAAUUGGGGCCUGGAUCAGGACGAGGUAGAAUGGACUUUCUGAAGUGUUGGCUGCUAGCAGACCUGAGAAUCCAAGUCCUCUCCCUAUAUUUAACAAUUCCGGCAAUAAAUAUAGGAAUCGCAAUGAAGUUAAGGUCGGUGGGUUUCAAGGCUCUAACAGAGACAUAAAGUGCCACACCCACUUGGACAACGAGUCCGAGCAAGUGCGUCAGCCACAACUCAUUGUCUUCCAAGGAAUAAGCAGUGAUGGUAUCAGGGCCACCAAGGUGCAGGAGAAGGAAAGGUGCCCAAAAUGCCAUAAUCACAUAGCUCGGAUCGACUGAAUUGUUAUCUUUGGAGUUGGAAUCUCCCUGGUUGUUGGCAAGGACGCCAAGGGAAAACGGUGGCAAUCCAGUCGGCCAAAAGAUAGGCAAGCCAAAGAAUGAUCCUGAUCCAGUUCUUCGUGUUGGACUUCCUCCGACUGCCUAGGCUAAUGAGUAGGAUCUGUAGGAAGAGGCUUAGUACG
rnacentral:lncRNA from 1 species